CCUACGGGUGGCAGCAGUGAGGAAUAUUGGUCAAUGGACGCACGUCUGAACCAGCCAUGUCGCGUGCAGGAUGACUGCCCUAUGAGUUGUAAACUGCUUUUAUAUGGGGGUAAAUCCCGAUAUGUGUACCGUGUUGUAAGUAUCGUAUGAAUAAGGAUCGGCUAACUCCGUGCCAGCAGCCGCGGUAAUACGGAGGAUCCAAGCGUUAUCCGGAUUUAUUGGGUUUAAAGGGAGCGUAGGCGGUCGGAUAAGUGAGUUGUGAAAUCUCGGGGCUCAACUCCGGAACUGCCUCUGAUACUGUCUGGCUAGAGUUUAGUUGCGGUAGGCGGAAUGUAUGGUGUAGCGGUGAAAUGCAUAGAGAUCACAAAGAACACCGAUUGCGAAGGCAUCGUACCAAACUACGACUGACGUUGAGGCUCGAAAGUGUGGGGAUCAAACAGGAUUAGAUACCCUAGUAGUC
rnacentral:rRNA from 1 species